rnacentral:lncRNA from 1 species
UUUAAGAAACACAUUCUCUCUCUAAUCUCUCUAAUCUCUACAUUGUCUCUCUAAUCUCUAAACUGCCAAUCUCCCUCAAAUCCUACUCUACAAUUCUCGGUAGCUUCCAAUCAUCAAUUAGUUCCAUUUUUUUUUGGGUCAAGACUCGGCUGUUUCCAGAUCUCCAAGUUCAGCCCCAAGUUUUUCCAAUUUCGACUACUUCCCAGAUUCAAAAUCAAGAAGGUGAUUACUUGAUUAUUCUCCAUUAAUUGUUCCAGUUUCAAAGAAAGAAAAACUCAUUCUUAUAUUUGUUUACAAUUCACAGAUUCCAACAACAUCACCAAAUCAAGGUUACUCUAAUUUCCCCUACUUCUAUCUACUAAUUCGAAACCAAGCAUCACAGAUCAGCAGCAAAUACACACGCUCACGCACACUUCCUUUUACUAUAUUUUCUGUAUUAUAUGACUACAAGAUGUGUUUGGGUAAGGAAAUACAAGAAUAGAAAGAACAAAUUUUGAAAACCUAAGUGCUCUAUGUGUAAACUGAAAAUUUGAGCUUUUUGUGUCUCUGUGUGCGUGUGACCGGGGACGGAGGGAAGAGUGAGAGCAGCCGGCGGCUGUUCACGGCCGGAGACGGCGCGGCGGCAAGCCACCGCCUUUUUCCUUUUCUGUCUGAAACGACCGAGAGAGA